UCCGGUAAGGAACCGGUUGGCGCCAGGCCGGCUCCCCCUCCUCCACCGCCUCUGCGCCGGCUACAAAAGGCGCCCCAGGUGCGCCCUCUGCACCCCGCGCUGUGGCCUCCUCCCUCUCUUCCUUUCGGAGCUUUCUCCUUCGGGCCGUGCCUCCGCCUGAGUCGCCUCCUCGCGUCUCCGCCACCCUCUCCUCCCCCUUGUCCAUCAAUUCUCGAUUCGUUUCGAAUCAAUCGCGUUUGAUUUCGCUCCUCGUCGCCUCUGCUCCCUGUGCUCGCAGGGGAUUCGGCCCGUCUCGUCCGCCUCCGGGGAGCGAUCGAUCGAUCGACCGGGGAAUCCCUCGAGCCGUUCGGUUUUGCCUCUGCGUCUGAUUUGAUUUCGGGUGACCGGAGGGCCGAAGCAAGGUCAGUUUCUCGCGCUCGAUCGGUCGGAUCGCUUCCUUGGUUCCGUCACCUGCCCGCGUUCGUCUCGUCGGUGGUUUCAGAUUUGAAAUUGAAUUGAACGCCGUCGACCGUGCGGCCUUCCGGCUCUAUUGUUCCCCGAUCGACCGCUCUCGUCCCGAGUUCCGUCGUCAUCAGUUAGUUAAUAAUACGAGGUGGAUUCGAGGCCCUCGUGGAUUCUUACUUUACCGGCUGAUCUGCUUUUGGUGUAUGUGCUCUCAUCCUAGAUGCAGAACCAAGAGGGCCAGCGCUUAGUUCUGGAGAGAUGAUACAGAUGAAGGGGUGGCGGAGGUUUGAUUUCUGUUCAUGGUUAUUCUGAUUGAUUGAUUACAGUCCAACGGUUAGUUUGAUUGAUUGAUUACAGUCCAACGGUUAUUCUGAUAUGAUCAAAUCUUCUGGGAUGAUCAAGCUUUCGACCUCUUACCAACCCAGGCUGGAAUACACGAUCUGCGUUUGGAUAAUAUACAUCAAUCCCUCCUAAUUUAGUUUCUGGUUCAAUUUAGCCUACUACAGUACAAUUCUGAUUUGGAUAUUUUGCUGGUUAUCCUGAAACUGGGAUUACAGAGGGCCACUUCGAGCCACCCGCCUUCUUGCUGACCUGCGUUUGCAUGAUCACUCUCUGUUUAAUUUGUUCUUCUCCACAAUUCAAUUAGUCCCCCAACAACUCUGAUUUUGAUAUGCUGCUGGCUCUCCAGAAACUGAAUGACAUAGCCUAGCGGCGGGUGGUCCUAAUUUGGCUCGGCAUGGCGUUUCUUCUUAUGGGGAUAAACUUUCUGGACCUUUCUUAUUGAAAUAAUUAUAUCUCAGCAAACAUUAGUUUCCCUGCCUUAGUCAUUCUCAGCUCUUGCAGAUGGUGCCUUGCAAGGGAUAUAAUUGGAGCUUGUCUACCUGACCUUCCCAGUCGAUACAGGCUUACUUUAUUUUAUCUUAACUCGUCAUCAUUUAAUCUAGUUCUCUUCCUAACUGAAACAUUUAUAGAAAGGUAUCUUGCUCGAUGCAGGUCCUAGUUCACGAACUCAAGGCCACCAACUUGAUAUUUAUUUUGGCCUAAGACAAUACUGGCAGUGAGCCUGAAUCUGUUAAAAUCGUCUGGUUUGCAAUCUAUCUCCUUGUGGUUUGAUUGGUUAUCUGUACUCUUGAUCCCUGCGUUAGUAUUCCUGCCCAUUGCUAUCUGAUAUAUUUAUAGGAAAUCUGGUCCUACAUGCAAACCUGUUGUUUGUACGUGUCACGGGGUCAGGUCAGUGUCUUGACGGUUGGUUCAUUUUUGUUGGCUUCCAUGGGUUGGUUGCAGGACUGGAUCUUGUAUGUGGAGAUCCCUGGGAUGUUGUAUGUCAAAGGGGAUUUGAGGCAGGUCAGAUGUGAAUGGCUAUCACUCGUGUGGUUUUCUCGUUCUCAUCAGGAGUUCCAUAAUCAUCAGCUAAUAUGAGGUGGAUUCGAGGUCCUAGUGGAUUCCUAUUGUAGCAGCUGAUUUCGCUUUUGGUGUGUGUUUGUGCUCCUUUAGAUGCAGCAGAAGCAAGAGGGUAGUGGCUCUGCAGAGAUGAGUCGAAGAGUUGAGGUUUGGUUUCUUAUACAAAUGGAUAGAUCUUUCCGGAGGACGGUGUUUUGGUGUUCAACUCCAACUUGUGAUCCGUGUUUGGAUGAUCUCAAAUUCUCGAUCACUCUGACUUUUAACUUACUCGUAUUUAUUUGCGAAGUACAAUAAUUUACUCCAAGAGAUUCUGAUUUGGAUUGGAUCUACAGAAAUUUAGAUUUGGCUUAGCGACAGGGGUGAUUUGUCUUCUUGCUGAUUGCUUUGGAUGAAUCAUUACUUCCUCCAUUUCAUUUAUUUCUCUCCAUAGCUCACCUUGAGUCUACGAUAAUCCUGCUUUGCAUUUGUUGGUGGUUCUUCAGAAAUUGAGGUUAUACGGCUUAGCGGGAGCACCUAUCGUCUUGGUGAUCUGCAGUGGAUGAUCAUUACCUACUCAGUUUAAUUUCUUCUUCUCCAGAGUUCAAUUAGUCACCCAACAAUUCUGUUUGUGAUCUGUUGAUGGUUGUACAGAAAUUGGAAUUACACGGCCUAGCGGGCGGUCCUAAUUUGCCUCAGCAUGGCGGUUCCUUCUGUGGCUCAAACUUUUUCAACCUUUCUUAUUGUCAUGACAUUAGGUUUUCUCUGCCUUGGUCGGUAAUUCUCAGCUCUUGCAGAUACUGACAUAGAAAGGCUAUAACUGCACUUUGGAACUGGUGGUGUUGUCGUCCGUCAACCAUAGCUGAACUUCCUAUCCGAGACAGGCUUACUUGUUCCCGCCCCAUCGUUUGAUCCAUGCUUUGGCUAUUUAUAAGUAACAUUUUUCCCUAAUUGAAAAUUUAUAGUAAGGUCUCUUGCUCGUUGCAGGUUGUAGUUGACGAAACUCGAGCCCAACCUGAUGAUGAAUCUGUUUGCAGAUCUUCUAAAUCUACUAGUAUACCUUCAAUUCAUUGCAACUUACAUAACCAACAAAUUAUCUUACUAGGCAAUAUUUUAUAAUACAGAUACAUAUGCAAAGGUGCACGAAUCUAAGGAUAAUCCGAAGCUUUUGACUAGUGGCACAUCCUACAACCGAAAAAACUCUUGCCAUCCUUCUUUUAAUUUCAUUUAGCUACUUGGCCAUAUCUUUGAUAUAGGUUUUUGCUCCUGCCUUUACUGUGGUUGCAGAUUUUUUUUAGCCCAGACCAUGUGGGUAAUGACUCGGAAUCUGUUCUAAUAUUUUGGUUUGCGAUCUAGCUCUCCAUUGUUUGAUUUGUUACCUUUAACUCUUGAUCCCUGUGUUCUAUUGGUCUUCUGCAAGUGUUGCAGGAUAUAAUAGUUAGGAGUUUGUGCCCAAACCUUUGCUCUGUACAUGGAGUCAGGUCAGUGUCUUGUAGAUGGUCUGUUUGUUUCAUUUGUUAGCGCCACCUCCAUGAGUUGGCUUGCAGGACUGGAUCUGGAUCUGGCCUGGACAUGAAGCUCCCUAUGGUGUAUAACAGUAUGGUGAAGGGGACUUUUGAGGCAGGUCAGUUUCCCAUGUUUGGUCACACUGGUUUACUGUAUCCCUCAUCUGUGCUCGGUGACAAAAGAUUUAAGUGGCUAUACCUUGAGUUCUUCAAUUUAUCUUUGUCUGUGGCUCAUCAGUAUGGCUGUGCCUCAAUAUGAGGUGAAUUGGUUCUCGUUGUAACAGCUGAUCUCGCUUGUGGUAUGUGUUUGUGCUCCUUGAGAUGCAGGAUGUUGUGGAGUGAUGAAUCAAAGGAUUAAGGUUUGCUUUACUGUUCAUGGUUACUUUGAUUGGUUAUGGCUCAAUGGCUGAUUAUAAGCUAGGAUCUUGUGUGCUGUCAAAUUUAGCUUACAACAUCUCUGAUAUGGAUUGUUGGUUCUCCAGCUAGUGGACUUAUGGGGACUUUCCGGAAGGUGCUCUGUUUUGUUUCACCAUGUUACAGGCGUUUUCUUCUGUUGACUUCAAUCUUUCCUGAUUUGCUUUGAACAUUGUACUUCCUAUGGUUUUCUCUGCCCUUGGUAACUACGUGUCCUUGCAGAUAUUGACAUGGAUGAGAGAUAAUAUAGUUCGCUAUCUGGAACUGGUGUUGUUGCCUAACUGAUCUCUCCCAGCCAAGCAGGCUUAUCCUAUCCCCUCACUGUUUUGAUGCAUCAUUUAGCUGUUUAUAAGUAGCUUCGUCUCCCCAAAGCAAAUAUUCAUGGGAAGAGGUCUGUUGGUCGUUGCAGGUCCUAAUUGACUAUUUAGGUCCAACCUGAUCCGGAGUUAUCUGUUUGAAGAUCUUCUAAACCCUUUCCAAUUCAUUGCAAUUUGUUCAACAUAUAUAAAUUAUCUUAUGGAGACAAUUUGAACAUUCAUAUUGAUUUGGUGGAUGUAUAAGAUUCGGAGGUUGCUCUGGGACAUCCUACAACCGAAAAAAUUCGGUGCUCUCUACAACCGAAAAACUAUCUUAUGCCGAGUUCCUGAAGAAACUUCUGCUAUCUUGGUUGCCUUUUGCUUGAUCAAGUCAUGCUGGUAGCCAUUCAAAAUAUGUUGCCUUUUUGGUUUCUCACUUUGUUAUCUGUACUCCCAAUCCAUGUGUUUCUGUUGGUCUGUUGGCCUGCUGGGCUUGUUCUUUGCAGUAUAUGUUGGAAUUGGUGGGUGUGCCCUGUGGAGUCAGGUCAGUGUUUGGUCUGCUCUCAAUGCAAAAAUUAGCUUUGUUCCUCUUCUUCAAUCUCCAAUGGCUAAUCAACGAUUCUGUCUGUCACGUAAUACAAGGUGAAUUUCAUCUCGUUUAUGAUAUGCGCAUUUGUUCCUUCAGAUACGAGACAGUGGAGAUCGUAUUGUAGGGUAGAGGUUUGGGUGAUUCAUGGCUUAGCUGUUCGGAUGAUAUCUUACAAGUUUGGGAUUGGAAUUGUUGGUCAUGCCCGCAUAGUUGAGGAUUCAUAAGUGUCUUGAGGCGUGACUGGACUGUUUGGUUUCUGUUCUGAGUAUUAUUUGGAUUUUUGGUUGUUCUCCAGCAUUUGAGCGUAGGCUUGCCCGGACUACUUUUUGGCUCAAUAAUUGGAAUGGUGCAGAGCUCUAGGAGAUUCUUCGUGAUUCAUUUCUCUGUUAACUUUUAACAUUCCAAACAUUGUUCUUUCUUGUCAGUAACUCCUAGUUCUAUGCAGAUGUGGCAUACAAUGAGGAUAAUUCAAACCAAUGUGCAUAACUUCACUAAACCAGGCUUCCCUAUCUCCCUUGCUAUAUUUGUUCACAUUCUUAGCUUUCUCAAAAAUGGUUAGGCAUCAUGGUCUUUUGUUCAUUGCAGGUGUACUUGACAAUUUUACAACAGAAAUCUGAUGUCAUGCUGCGUGAAAUUUAUUUUUGGAGACCUUCUGAUUUCACAUUUUUCUAUCGAUAAGCUAGAAAACCAGUUAGCUGUUAAGUCUGAGUAUUCAAACUGAUCCGCAGAGGUGAAGAAUUCUAAAAGCUUGUUUGGGAGCUUCGUUCUGGAGGGAGUACCUAUGCUCAAUGCUUUUUUCAACUCAUUGUCCAGUUCUAAUUAUGUUCUGACUUUCCUUCAAGAAACUUCAAGUAUUCUGAUUAUAUUUGGGCUGUUCAUUGAUCAUUCCUGUUGGAAAAUUGUAGAGUUGGAAAGUCUAGCAACACGUCAGUUGGUGGGGGGAUUUGGUGAAGCAAAUGGAUCAUCUGCUUCCCGGAUGUUUUUGACCUCUGAUUAACCCUGAUCCUGAAGCAUAUUAUACUUGAUUUGGUCUUUGUGGCAGCUUUCAGUUUGAACUUGCAUUCAGUGGUAGUUUGGAGUUAGUAGUGUGCACAUCUGAUUCUUCCAACCGUCCUGAAGCAUCUUACUUGGUUUCUGUUGUGUGCCAUCGGCUUCAACUUGCAUGUGGUUUGGAUGUCUCAUCUUUUGCUCCAAAUCAACAAAAUGCUACAAGUAUUGAUGUCUUAACUGGAAGUUCCUUUAGUCUCAAGGGCCCAACAAUGGAAAUACCAGUCCGUACUCAAAGUUUGUAUAGGAGAUUAUCAACUUUUGAUUUGGCUAUUAAUCACUAGAUGGUUGCCAUACUGUUUCCGGAAGUUAGUUUAAUAUUAGGCUGCUUGUAUCUAUAAAUUUAUCUCUAGCAGCAAUAUCUUCAGCUGCAAAUUUAUCACCUAUGUACAUGAGCUCUGUAUGCAGUAAAAGAUCUCCAUAUACACUUGGAUUUGUCGGUCUACUAUACCACAUAUAUUUGUCCA